CGGGCGGGGCGCCGCGCGCGCGGGGAGGAGGAGGGAGCCCCGGCCGCCGCCUCCCGCCCGCCCGCCCGCCGCGUGCUCGGCUCUGUCCCCGCCCAGCGCCCCGGAGCCUCCAACUAACUCCGCCCGCCGCCCGCAGGCUCCGGCUUCCGUCCCGGACCGAGCCCGCGGCCGCGCAGAAUGAAACUUAAGUGGAGGGCGUACUUACACCUUCAACCCAGAGGUUGUGAGGAUGAGUGACGCGGGCCGGGGCGAGCGCCCUCGCCGAGCCCGUCAGCGGGGGCUGGGGAGCAGCGCCCCGCGCGCCUAGCCCGCCCGCC